rnacentral:lncRNA from 1 species
UUGUAGAGCUCUAAAUGCUGCAUUCCUUCUCAAGGAAUUUCCACUCUCUACCAUUUUGAUCAAAGAGGGAGAAGCUUUCUCAGCAACGUAGGUUAUGCUGUCAAGUCCAAGCACUAUUUCCCCGAGGUAUCGUGCCAUCUCCAUUUUCAUCUCUUCACUGCCUAUAUCAAGUUUUUGGUAGUAGAAGUAACAGUCAGUUCCUUGAAUUCAGAAUUGACACCAAAAAACUCAAUUUGGUCUCUACUUUUUGAUACCUGUCUUUAGUUCAUGUCGUCUCUAUUCUAGUAUACUUAGUGAUUGACCCUUAAAAGAAAAGAAUAUGUGGUUACCUUCAAGAAGAUGAUUUAAAAGUGGCUCUAGAUAUCCAUUUUCAGCCAUGUGUUUGAUGUUGCACGGAUAUUUCUCCAAGCUUUUCAAGACUUCGUCAGCUUUAUCUGCGACAAAUGCAUCACCGGAAUGCCUAUAUUUGGCUGUUAUCAGCAUGAGGAUGGCUCCAGGAACUUUCCCAAUAUUAUCACACAGAAACUGGGAUUUCGAAACCUCAAGCAAAAGGCGUAGUGAUGCAUGCCUAAUAGGUCUGUGAUUACUCGUCAGCAUCCUUGUGACUGUAGAAAUAUCGAUAAUUUGGGCAAUUAAUUCCUGCAUUUGUGAAGUAUCUCAACUCAGUACAUGUCUACAGGAUACUCUAAUUCUGUAAUUCUUGUUGUAUAUAUACAUGAAAAGUAGUGUUAAAAGCAAAUGUUGAGUAAACAAAUAAAAUGUGAAAUGUUAGUAGUAGUUGUGUGCCUACUAAAACUUAAAACUUUUCAAGGAUAGAAAAAAAAGGCCUAUACCUCAUCAUCAUCUUCAGCCAAAUGUCGCAACAAUUCCAGUGUUGCACAUCUUAUGCUUCUGCUUCUGUUGUCCAGUAAAUUUCCAAGCAGUGGUAUUAUACCAAUGCUACGAACUUGUACCUUAUUGUAUGGCUUUCUGAGGCAGAUGAUUUGCAAAUUUUCGAUUGCUUUGAGUAUUAUAUCCUGUGUGCUACUGGCUGAAGACAAAGCUGCUCUUGCAGCCUUGAUUCUUGCUGCUUCAUUUCUUUCUUUCCAUUCGUCUAUCGUUGCUUUCAACGCCACAUUAGUGCUCAGAUUUGUACUCUUUAGCUUCUGGCCUGACUUUGGACAGGAUAUUUCUUCGCGGUUAUCAAACUUGUUGAUCCAUUCUGAAAUGGCUUCCCUCUCAUAUGUUACUCCACUUUCUAUUGUGACAGGAUCCUCCAUAAUCUUCUUUGUCAACGGACAAAAGAAUGUUUCAUAUAGAGGUUCCA